ACCCGAACCCAAACAACAUUAAAUAAACUAAAUUAUUAAAUACUUAGGAACCCAUAACAAAAACAAAAUACACCACCUUAAACUAGAAUAAAAUUGCUAUCAGAUAGCUAUUUGGGUUUACAAAAAUAUUGAUUUAAGUAUCAAUAAAAUAAAAAAACUAAACGUCUUAAAUAUUUUUUCAGAUUCCCAUUUUUUUAAUUUCCCAUAGAACAAGAAAAAUAAAUCACAAUUUCAAGAAAUAAAGUUUAUAUGAUAAAUAAAACCCCCGUGUCCCACAUAGCCCCGGUCUCCCUAUAAUGUUCCACUAUUGGAAGACAUGCAAGUAGAUUUGACUGGGUUAGGGAAAGAACUCUAUUGCGGAGGAGAAACUGAUGAAACCCUAGCCAGAAGGAUUAAGUACAUGAGUCAACAAGAUUGGGUGUGCAAAUUUAGUAAACCGGACAUGUCACCCAACAGCAUUGAACCAUCAACCACUGUGUUGAGCCCUUACCUCAAAUUUGGCUGCUUGUUGACAGAGCGGUGCACGCUGCUGAGAUUGCGGACUUUAAAAAUAUGUUGUCAGAUAUAACCACCAUCGACGAAGUACGGAUGACGACCGCGUCCGAUAAAGUUAUUAAUGAUUUCUACAACAAGUACGUAUUUUUCCAUAUCGCAUUAAUGUAUACAAUGUAUCGAAUGAAGUCGAAUGGAUAUGCCAAAAUACAAUGUAUGCAGAACAGACGGAACUAGAUUUUCGAUUUCGUGUAUAAUUAAUUAAUUAAUUAGUGUGUUAGAUUCAAUUUUUCACUGGAAAGAUAUAU